ACGCACGCUGGCGGCGUGCUUCACCCCUGCCGGUCGCACGGAAAGGCCCUUCGGGGUACUCGAGUGGCGAACGGGUGAGUAACACGUGGGUGAUCUGCCCUGCACUUUGGGAUAAGCCUGGGAAACUGGGUCUAAUACCGAAUAUGAUCAUCGGCUUCAUGGUCGGUGGUGGAAAGCUUUUGCGGUGUGGGAUGGGCCCGCGGCCUAUCAGCUUGUUGGUGGGGUAAUGGCCUACCAAGGCGACGACGGGUAGCCGGCCUGAGAGGGUGACCGGCCACACUGGGACUGAGAUACGGCCCAGACUCCUACGGGAGGCAGCAGUGGGGAAUAUUGCACAAUGGGCGCAAGCCUGAUGCAGCGACGCCGCGUGAGGGAUGACGGCCUUCGGGUUGUAAACCUCUUUCAGCACAGACGAAGCGCAAGUGACGGUAUGUGCAGAAGAAGGACCGGCCAACUACGUG
rnacentral:rRNA from 1 species